AGCCUGGACGCUGGCGGCGUGGCUAAGACAUGCAAGUCGUACGGAUGUAGCAAUACAUCAGUGGCGAACGGGUGAGUAAUGAAUCGCUAACGUGCCCCGGACUCUGGGAUAGCCGGUCGAAAGGCCGGGUAAUACCAGAUGAUAUACCUCUAUCGCAUGAUAGAGGUCUCAAAGGUCCGCCGGUCUGGGAGCGGGCGAUUUCGUAUCAGCUAGUUGGUGAGGUAACGGCUCACCAAGGCGACGACGCGUAGCCGGACUGAGAGGUUGGCCGGCCACAUUGGGACUGAGACACUGCCCAGACUCCUACGGGGGCUGCAGUAACGAAUCUUCCGCAAUGCACGAAAGUGUGACGGAGCGACGCCGCGUGUGGGACGAAGCCCUUCGGGGUGUAAACCACUGUCAGAGGAAAGAAAGUUCUGAUCUACCUCAGAGGAAGAGGCGGCUAACUCUGCGCCAGCAGCCGCGGU
rnacentral:rRNA from 1 species